AUGGCCUGCAGCUCAGCUCCUGCCACUCCACUUCUCAGGAAAUGGGGCCAGGACAGUUUGGAAACCCCCCUCCCUCACCUUUUCUGGAUCCUCUUUUCACUGGUGCCAGCAGCAGCAGUGACCUUAUCCAGCCCCACCAGAAGCCUGUGGCUACACAGUUCACACCAUGGGUGCCCAUGCACUGUGCGUAGAAAGGAGGAGGCGGAGGGCCGGAGCCCACCAGACGCAAAGAGGAGCCACUCUGUUCCUGGCCCAGCCCAGCUGCUUUGGCCCCUGUGCCCCACACCUGAUCUGCUGCCCUCCUAUGAGAACAGGCCAGUGUCACUCCAGAGUCUUGAUGGCCCGUGCUCUACUGGGUGGGGAAGGGCAGGCCUAAGUGUUUCCCAUACCAGAGUAGGGUCUGGGUGGGAUUGAAAGCCCUACAGGCCUAUCUGAUGGAAGCCAGAGAUGCUGGGGCUCAGCUGUCUCUGGGCAGGAAGGGGCCAUAGCUUUUCUUUGACUCCAGUGGGUGGACAGAACCCCCCACCCCCACCCAGGGGUCUUCAGGCCAAC
rnacentral:lncRNA from 1 species